rnacentral:misc_RNA from 1 species
AAGUCGUAACAAGGUUUCCGUAGGUGAACCUGCGGAAGGAUCAUUAACACGUAUCCACGUAUCAACAAAGUGAAUCGUUUUCAAUAUCUCCCCUCAGAAAAUACAUGAGCUGAACUUUUAACGAGGUAUGUCUGGGCACCGAAAGGUGUAGUUCGUUAAUUUUCACUGAGUCUUCGGAUUCGACAGCUGAAGUAUUCUUGAGGAUUUCUUGCCACAGUCUGUGUCCACGACUGCAGCUGUGGUGAGAGCAACUCUUAACCUAUCUCACCAAUUUUUGCUAGUUGACUUUUAUAUGUUGCUUUAUUGCGCAAGCAGUGGGCACACGUUUAAUUAUUUGAACGUUAAAAAUACAACUCUUAGCAAUGGAUAUCUAGGUUCUC